rnacentral:tRNA from 1 species
GCCGGGAUGGCGGAACUGGUAGACGCGGCAGACUCAAAAUCUGCUGGGUGCAUAGCCCGUGCGGGUUCGAGUCCCGCUCCCGGCACCA